UUAUUGCCGACGCAAACUUUGCUUUGGGGCAGCUGCUUGGGUACUACGAGCGUGUGCUUAAAACUCAAAGAACUUGGCGGCUCGUUAACUACCUAGGGGAAUAUGCGCCUUAAUCCGAUGAUCCGCGUAGCAUCUUACUGUACCUUGAAAAAGAACAGCCGGUGUAUUGCCGUCGUCAGCCUGUUGUUCGAGCAAAGAGAAACAGGCCCAAUGGAACUGGCGAUUUGUCGACAGGAUCCGUAAAGUCAGGUCGAAAUACUGCCCAUGGUACGAGGGAGUGGGUAUUACAAUUCAAUUUUCGAACUACGGAGCUUGGAAGAACUGUGAAAUCUCCAGGUGAAGGUGGACUUAGGAGUAAGGGGAGAUUAAUAUGCUUCCCUGAACAUGAAUCUAACUUGUGUACACAUCGCCCGUCGCUCU
rnacentral:rRNA from 1 species